GGCUCCUCGUAUAGUAUUAAAUGGGGGGUCUGGCCUGCCCAGUGACAGAAGUGUUAAACGGCCGCGGUAUAUUGACCGUGCAAAGGUAGCGUAAUAAUUUGCCCAUUAAUUGUGGGCUAGUAUGAAUGGCUUGACGAGGGCUAAGCUGUCUCUUUAUAAGAUAUCUGGAAAUUAUUUUCUAGGUGAAAAUUCCUAGAUGCGGCUGAGGGACGAUAAGACCCUAUCGAGCUUUAGUGGAGCUUGAAGCCAGUGCAUUCAAAUUUGUAUAUGGGUGUUUAGGUGAAUCUUUGGUUGGGGCGAUCGAGAAGUAGAGUAAACCUUUUGUGUAAUUUGUAUGCUGUUAGGCAUAAGAUCUGGUGUAUUGUGUAGAUUAUAGGAAAAAGUUACCGUAGGGAUAACAGCGCAAUCCUCUUGGAGAGUUCUUAUUGAGAAGAGGGCUUGCGACCUCGAUGUUGGACUAGGAUGUCCUAAAGGUGUAGCAGUUUUUGAGGGUUAGUCUGUUCGACUAUUAAAAUCCUACA
rnacentral:rRNA from 1 species